UACGUAGGGUGCAAGCGUUGUCCGGAAUUAUUGGGCGUAAAGAGCUUGUAGGCGGUUUGUCGCGUCUGCUGUGAAAUUUCGGGGCUCAACCCCGAACUUGCAGUGGGUACGGGCAGACUAGAGUGUGGUAGGGGAGACUGGAAUUCCUGGUGUAGCGGUGAAAUGCGCAGAUAAUCAGGAGGAACACCGAUGGCGAAGGCAGGUCUCUGGGCCGAUACUGACGCUGAGGAGCGAAAGCGUGGGGAGCGAACAGG
rnacentral:rRNA from 1 species